rnacentral:rRNA from 1 species
UAGUGUGCUAAAUUUCGGUUGAUCCUGCCGAAGGAUACUGCUAUUGGAUUACGAUUAAGCCAUGCGAGUCUAAAGGUCCUCGGACCUUGGCAAACUGCUCAGUAACACGUGGAUAAUCUACCCUCAAGUAAGGAAUAAUCCCGGGAAACUGGGGCUAAUACCUUAUAGGAACAGGUUGCUGGAAUGCUCCUGAUCUGAAAGCUCCGGCGCUUGAGGAUGAGUCUGCGACCUAUCAGGUUGUAGUCAGGGUAAUGGCCUGACUAGCCAGUGACGGGUACGGGGUGUGAGAGCACUCGCCCGGAGAUGGUUUCUGAGACAAGAAACCAGGCCCUACGGGGCGCAGCAGGCGCGAAAACUUCGCAAUGCGGGAAACCGUGACGAGGGAACUCCAAGUGUCUAUGCAUUGCAUAGACUGUUUUUUAGCCUAAAUAGCUUUUAGAGUAAGGGGUGGGUAAGACCGGUGCCAGCCGCCGCGGUAACACCGGCACCCCGAGUGGUAGCCACUAUUAUUGGGCCUAAAGCGUUCGUAGCCGGUUUGGUAAAUUCUUGGGUAAAUCGUACCGCUUAACGGUGCGGAUUCCGGGGACACUACCAGACUUGAGACCGGGGGAGAUCAGAGGUACUUGCGGGGGAGCGGUGAAAUGUUGUAAUCCCGCAGGGACCACCAGUGGCGAAGGCGUCUGAUCAGAACGGUUCUGACGGUGAGGAACGAAACCCUGGGGCGCAAACGGGAUUAGAUACCCCGGUAGUCCAGGGCGUAAACGCUGCUGACUUGGUGUUGGAGAUCCUACGA